UACGGAGGGUGCAAGCGUUAUCCGGAUUUACUGGGUUUAAAGGGUGCGCAGGCGGAUAUGUAAGUCAGUGGUGAAAUCUUCCCGCUUAACGGGAAAACUGCCAUUGAUACUAUAUAUCUUGAAUGCUGUGGAGGUAAGCAGAAUAUGUCAUGUAGCGGUGAAAUGCUUAGAGAUGACAUAGAAUACCUAUUUCGAAGGCAGCUUACUACGCAGAUAUUGACGCUCAUGCACGAAAGCGUGGGGAUCAAACAGG
rnacentral:rRNA from 1 species